rnacentral:rRNA from 1 species
UUUAKUUUUUUUUUCUGCUCAGRGCGAACGCUGGCGGCAGGCUUAACACAURCAAGUCGAGCGGGCAUAGCAAUAUGUCAGCGGCAGACGGGUGAGUAACGCGUGGGAACGUACCUUUUGGUUCGGAACAACUGAGGGAAACUUCAGMUAAUMCCGGAUAAGCCCUUACGGRGAAAGAUUUAUCGCCGAAAGAUCGGCCCGCGUCUGAUUAGCUAGUUGGUGAGGUAAUGGCUCMCCAAGGCGACGAUCAGUAGCUGGUCUGAGAGGAUGAUCASCCACAUUGGGACUGAGACACGGCCCAAACUCCUACGGGAGGCAGCAGUGGGGAAUAUUGGACAAUGGGCGCAAGCCUGAUCCAGCCAUGCCGCGUGAGUGAUGAAGGCCCUAGGGUUGUAAAGCUCUUUUGUGCGGGAAGAUAAUGACGGACCGCAA